rnacentral:tRNA from 1 species
UCACAAGUAGUCUAGUGAUAGAAUAGUACCCUGACACGAUACAAAUCCGGGUUCGAUUCCCGGUUGGUGCC